GUGGGGAAUAUUGGACAAUGGGCGCAAGCCUGAUCCAGCCAUGCCGCGUGAGUGAUGAAGGCCCUAGGGUUGUAAAGCUCUUUCACCGGAGAAGAUAAUGACGGUAUCCGGAGAAGAAGCCCCGGCUAACUUCGUGCCAGCAGCCGCGGUAAUACGAAGGGGGCUAGCGUUGUUCGGAUUUACUGGGCGUAAAGCGCACGUAGGCGGAUCGUUAAGUCGGGGGUGAAAUCCUGGAGCUCAACUCCAGAACUGCCUUCGAUACUGGCGAUCUUGAGUCCGGAAGAGGUGAGUGGAACUCCUAGUGUAGAGGUGGAAUUCGUAGAUAUUAGGAAGAACACCAGUGGCGAAGGCGGCUCACUGGUCCGGUACUGACGCUGAGGUGCGAAAGCGUGGGGAGCAAACAGGAUUAGAAACCCCGGUAGUCC
rnacentral:rRNA from 1 species